GAAAUACUCCCUCCGUUCGGAAUUACUUGUCGCAGAAAUGGAUGUAUCUAGAUGUAUUUUAGUUCUAGAUACAUCCAUUUUUGAGACAAGUAAUUCCGAACGGAGGGAGUACAUA
rnacentral:pre_miRNA from 1 species